UUUGAGAUGGGUAUAAACGGAGGUCGGAGCCAGCUCCAAAUGGGCGGGUCAGCUCCAAAUGGGUGGGACUUCAGCUCCAAGUGGGCUGUACAAACCUCCAGAGCCUUUUGAUUGGUUUAUUUAAUGUCACAGGGUUAAUGCACGCUGCGAAUCCCCACCCCCCCACCAAAAAAAGAAGAAAAAAAGACGACGUCAACUUCCCAAGGCUUUUCAGCGUCAAGAAAGAGGAGUUUGAAGGGGAUUUACGCUGCAGAUGACGGACACUGAAGACUAUAAGCAGGCAGCAGCGGAUCUACCCCAAUCAUCAUUAACGGGACCCCAGUGGAGAGAGUGAGCAGCUUCAAUACCUUCAAAUGCCCUGCAAAGAGUAGCUGAGCACAUCUCCAGAACAUCUCUCCCCUCUCUGCAAGACAUCCACACCAGAAGAUGUAAAUCUAGGACUGUUAAGAUCCUUAAAGACCCCACCCACCCUGGAAAUCCACUGUUUCAUCUGCUAGAGUCAGGCAGAUGCUUCUGCAGUCUGAUGGCAAAGACGGAGAGGCUCAGGAGGAGUUUCUUCCCUCAUGUUAUCAGACUACUAAACAUGGACAUUAAACACACUGUACUUUAUAGACUGGUUGUUUAUGGCUUCCCAAUAACUCUCUGCACACUGCACUUUUUUGACACAACCUAACUAUGCAACUCAUCCUCACUGCACAUUGUCUACAUCUCUGCACAUCAUCUGUGUAGCAGUUUCUAUGUAGCAUCUCUACAAAUCAUCUGUGUAGUAGUUUAAUACAGUAUAUUGUGUAUAUUUUAUACAGUAUAUUUUUUUCCUGUUGUUUCAUUAUUAAUUUUUUUUUGCACAGUCUAAAAAGAGUAUGCCAGACCUACAUUUCACUGCUUUUUGCAUGUCAUAUAACAAAUAAAACUUGAAUUUUUAAUGGUGUGGAUUGUUACCUGUGAUUGAGUUGGUGAUAAAAAGGAGAUGGGGAAAUGAGUGUCUUAAAUUGGACUUUGGUACCAAUAAUAUUUUCCUCUUAAGUCUUGGAAU